AGUGGCUGGAUAACAUGGAGUCGGGCAAGAUGGCACCUCCCAAGAACGCUCCCAGAGAUGCCUUGGUGAUGGCACAGAUCCUGAAGGAUAUGGGAAUCACAGAGUAUGAACCAAGGGUUAUAAAUCAAAGGUUCGAAUUUGCUUUCCGUUAUGUGACUACAAUUCUGGAUGAUGCAAAAAUUUAUUCGAGCCAUGCUUAGAAACCUAACGUUGAUGCAGAUGAUGUGAGACUGGCAAUCCAGUGUCGUGCUGACCAAUCUUUUACCUCUCCUCCCCAAGAGAUUUUUUACUGGAUAUCGCAAGGCAGAAAAAUCAAACCCCUUUGCCAUUGAUUAAGCCAUAUGCAGGAUCUAGACUGCCACCUGAUAGAUACUGCUUAACAGCUCCAAACUAUAGGCUGAAGUCCUUAAUUAAAAAGGGACCUAACCAAGGGAGCCUAGUUCCACGAUUAAGUGUUGGUGCUGUUAGUAGCAAACAUACUACUCUUACUAUAGCAACCCCACAAACGGUGUCUGUCCCAAAUAAAGUUGCAACUCCAAUGUCAGUGACAAGCCAAAGAUUUACGGUGCAGAUUCCACCUUUUCAGUCCACACCUGUCAAACCAGUUCCUGCAACAACUGCAGUUCAGAAUGUUCUGAUUAAUCCUUCAAUGAUUGGGCCCAAAAAUAUUCUUAUUACCACCAACAUGGUUUCGUCACAGAACACGACCAAUGAAGCAAACCUGCUGAAGAGAAAACAUGAAGAUGAUGAUGACAAUGAUAUUAUGAAAGGAAUAUAGUCUAGUCUAGAUGCAUUUCAAAAGGAAAGUUGGUUUUGAACUCAGUAUACUGAACUAGAAUAUUCUAGAUCUUCUCGUUUUACCUUAAGACUGAAACGUAGCUGCAGUAUUUUUCAUCAGUUAAAACUGUUAGAUCUCUUUAGUAAACAUACAAAUGUGUUUAUCAUUAGGCUUCAGUUACAAACAGUUAAGUACUUGUUUCUUAAUAGUUUCAUUAAUGUUGAGUCCUAGUAUGGCAAUUCUGUUUUUGAGACACUUUUCUGCCUUCUAUCACUGAUAGCAGCACUUAAGUUUCAGGUUCUACAGCCUGGUCAGCAGAUUUAUCUUUAACAGCAUAAUUUCUGAUCUAUAUUUAAAUACUACUUUAUUUUAUAAGGUAAUAUAGUUACUGUCACUAGCUUAUUUUUUUACCAAAUCUCUCAAUUUAGGAAACAUUUUUUGGAAAGGGUGGAUUUAGAGGAGAGACUCUAAAUCCAUUUUGAAUGUGUCUGUUUCUUUGCCUUCCUUAACUCCCAAACUCAACUCCUUUUCUGGAUCCCAUUCAUUUUCUGCACUUCCCCCAUAGGCUUGUUUCUCUCCAUUGCUGUUAAAUGUAAAAGGCCAUACCUGGAAUUUUAAAAAUAUCAUUCCUGGUAAUACAGCUCAUUGUCAUUUUCCUAUUUUUAAAACAUGCUCUACAUGCCUAAUGUUUUGU